rnacentral:rRNA from 1 species
CCUACGGGGGGCAGCAGUGGGGAAUAUUGCACAAUGGGGGAAACCCUGAUGCAGCGACGCCGCGUGAGUGAAGAAGUAUUUCGGUACGUAAAGCUCUAUCAGCAGGGAAGAAAAUGACGGUACCUGACUAAGAAGCCCCGGCUAACUACGUGCCAGCAGCCGCGGGAAUACGUAGGGGGCAAGCGUUAUCCGGAAUUACUGGGGGUAAAGGGAGCGUAGACGGCGAGGUAAGCCUGAAGGGGAAGCCCGCGGCCCAACCGCGGAAGUGCUUUGGAAACUGUUUUGCUGGAGUGUGGGAGGGGUAAGCGGAAUUCCUGGUGUAGCGGUGAAAUGCGUAGAUAUCAGGAAGAACACCGGUGGCGAAGGCGGCUUACUGGACCAUAACUGACGUUGAGGCUCGAAAGCGUGGGGAGCGAACAGGAUUAGAUACCCUGGUAGUC